rnacentral:rRNA from 1 species
UCAGGAUGAACGCUGGCGGCGUGCCUAACACAUGCAAGUCGAGCGGGGAAGCCGGAACAUGUAGAGAUAUAUGAGAAAGCAUCCUAGCGGCGGACGGGUGAGUAACACGUGAGGAACCUGCCUUACACAGGGGAAUAACACCGUGAAAACGGUGCUAAUACCGCAUAACACCGCACUAUGGCAUCAUAGAGCGGUCAAAGGAGAAAUCCGGUGUAAGAUGGCCUCGCGCCCGAUUAGUUAGUUGGUGGGGUAAUGGCCUACCAAGACUGCGAUCGGUAGCCGGACUGAGAGGUCGAACGGCCACAUUGGAACUGAGAGACGGUCCAGACUCCUACGGGAGGCAGCAGUGGGGAAUAUUGGGCAAUGGGGGGAAACCCUGACCCAGCAACGCCGCGUGAAGGAAGAAGGCCUUCGGGGUUGUAAACUUCUUUGAUCAGGGAAGAAACAAAUGACGGUACCCGAAAAACAAGCCACGGCUAACUACGUGCCAGCCGCUGC